UACUCACAUUACUGCUCACAGCUGUAACUACAAGAUGUUUCAAUAUCCUCUACAGGUAAAUAUGUAAAUAUGUAGUACAAUGCUCUCAGCACUGAGGGGGAAACACCAUGAUAUGUUGAGGACAGCUACAGUUCACUGACUCUGUGUGUUUGCAUAUGUGUCCUUCCUCUCUGCUCCCAGCCGUUAAGAGGCCAGUGUUGAUCAGUGGCUGUCCAGGCCUUUCAGAGCCACUGACACGCCGGCAGCACAAUGAGGAUGUCACUGACUCUACUGCUGGCCACCCUGGGGCUCCUUGUUCAGGAUUCAUCAGGAGAAAUCAUCCUGACUCAGUCUCCUAAAGCUCAGUCUGUUGUUCCAGGACAGACUGUCUCUAUCAGAUGUAAAGCCAGUUCAGGUGUUAGCAAUGAUUUGCAGUGGUACCUUCAGAAACUUGGAGAAGCUCCUAAACUCCUCAUUUAUAAGGCUCAGUCCCGUCACUCUGGAGUUUCAGAGCGUUUCAGUGGGAGUCAGUCUGGAACUGACUUCACUUUGACCAUCAGUGGAGUUCAGACUGAAGAUGCAGGAGUUUAUUACUGUCAGCAGGAUUACAGCAGACCAUUCACACAGUGAAAAAGUGUCAUACAA